ensembl:ncRNA Y4C6B.100 ncRNA
UUUCCUUCAUCUUCAGAUACGUCUGACGAGGAGUUGGAGGAGAUUUCGAGAGAAGCUUUCUGAAAUGAAAAAAAGUAGGCAUAUAUUGGAAAACCUUUAAACUUUUUUUGUGAUUUAUCUGAAUCCUUGCUAUAUUAGACCCAAAACUAC